rnacentral:rRNA from 1 species
AACGAACGCUGGCGGCAGGCUUAACACAUGCAAGUCGAACGCAUCGCAAGAUGAGUGGCAGACGGGUGAGUAACGCGUGGGAAUCUACCCAGUUCUACGGAACAACAGUUGGAAACGACUGCUAAUACCGUAUACGCCCUACGGGGGAAAGAUUUAUCGGAAUUGGAUGAGCCCGCGUAAGAUUAGCUAGUUGGUGGGGUAAUGGCCUACCAAGGCGACGCUCUUUAGCUGGUUUGAGAGGAUGAUCAGCCACACUGGGACUGAGACACGGCCCAGGCUCCUACGGGAGGCAGCAGUGGGGAAUAUUGGACAAUGGGCGCAAGCCUGAUCCAGCCAUGCCGCGUGAGUGAUGGAGGCCUUAGGGUUGUAAAGCUCUUUCACCGAUGAAGAUAAUGACGGUAGUCGGAGAAGAAGCCCCGGCUAACUUCGUGCCAGCCGCCGCCGUAAUAC